AAGUCCAUGGUAUGGAUAUUUUUGUAGCAAAUCUCUAAAUCUUUCUCACGUUUCAUACAAUGAUUCACCCUCUCAUUGUUUAAAACUAGUAAUGUCCAUUCUAAAUUU